CACCUGAAAAACUGUGAGUUCAGAGACGCAGCUCGC
rnacentral:sRNA from 1 species